AUUGAACGCUGGCGGAAUGCUUUACACAUGCAAGUCGAACGGCAGCACGGGGGCAACCCUGGUGGCGAGUGGCGAACGGGUGAGUAAUACAUCGGAACGUGCCCAGUCGUGGGGGAUAACGUAGCGAAAGCUACGCUAAUACCGCAUACGAACUCUGGUUGAAAGCGGGGGACCCGUAAGGGCCUCGCGCGAUUGGAGCGGCCGAUGGCAGAUUAGGUAGUUGGUGGGGUAAAGGCCUACCAAGCCGACGAUCUGUAGCUGGUCUGAGAGGACGACCAGCCACACUGGGACUGAGACACGGCCCAGACUCCUACGGGAGGCAGCGAGGU
rnacentral:rRNA from 1 species